CCUACGGGAGGCAGCAGUAGGGAAUUUUCCACAAUGGGGGCAACCCUGAUGGAGCAACGCCGCGUGCAGGAUGAAGGCCUUCGGGUUGUAAACUGCUUUUAUUGGUGACGAUUAUGACGGUAGCCAAUGAAUAAGGACCUGCUAACUACGUGCCAGCAGCCGCGGUCAUACGUAGGGUCCAAGCGUUAUCCGGAAUUACUGGGCGUAAAGAGUUGCGUAGGUGGCAGCGUAAGUUGGUAGUGAAAGCGUGUGGCUCAACCAUACAUCCAUUACCAAAACUGCGCAGCUAGAGGACGAGAGAGGUAGAUGGAAUUCCUGGUGUAGGGGUAAUAUCCGUAGAUAUCAGGAAGAACACCGAUGGCGUAGGCAGUCUACUGGCUCGUUCCUGACACUAAGGCACGAAAGCGUGGGGAGCGAACGGGAUUAGAUACCCCGGUAGU
rnacentral:rRNA from 1 species